GACAGAGGUUGCAAGCGUUGUUCGGAAUUACUGGGCUUAAAGGGCGAGUAGGCGGUGAGGUAAGUCCGUGGUGCAAUCCUUUGGCUUAACCAGAGAACUGCCUUAGAUACUGCUUCACUUGAGUCUGGGAGGGGAGGGCGGAAUUCCCGGUGUAGCGGUGAAAUGCGUAGAUAUCGGGAGGAAGGCCGGUGGCGAAAGCGGUCCACUGGAGCUGAACUGACGCUGAGGCGCGAAAGCGAGGGGAGCAAACAGG
rnacentral:rRNA from 1 species